rnacentral:rRNA from 1 species
AUGGCUGCUGGGAGUUACAGUAAAGUAGACAUUGCUAUCAGUUAUGUCCUGCUUAUUGGGGCUCUCGUUUUGGAGGUCAUGUCAAGUAUUAAGGCAAUGUUCUCGAGCUGGACAAGUUCGUUCCUGCUAAAGCCGAGGAGGGAUUUCACUAGGCCAGGAGAGGAAGAAAGAAGUAUGAGGAUCUUGCUUGGUCGUGGGAUUACAUCUGUCCGCCGGUUUGUGCAUGCAGCAGAAUGGAGAGGAAGGUAUUGGUCCGGCUCCAUGGGGCAGCACAACCUGCUUCAGUUGUGCGUUGGCAGUAGGGUGGGCCGAAUGAGCAAAAUCGCGAGAUGGAUGGGAUUUGAGGACCCGUGGAACACGCUGGCAUACUGCUCCUCCAUCCCUGUCUCGGCAUUCAUCAAGCAGCUGCUGGUCAACCAUGUGCUGAGUCGCAGCGUCCUUCCAACAGAUGAAGAUCACAUCGCUAACUCAAGGGGCCUGGCGGCCCUGAAGAGCAAGGGACUGUAUGAGGAACUGGAAUGGAGCUUGGACCCCAAAAGGUCCUUGGAGCAGACCAUCCUUACAUGGCACAUCGGCACCAACAUCUAUCUCUUUUGGUACAAAAAGGAGAAGCCGGAGCAAACAAAUGCAGCCAGUGGUCAAGGCGGCGACGACGCACAGAGGCAGCAGCAGCAGGUUGAUCUCGUCGAGGCGGUGGAGGCGCUCUCCAAUUACAUGCUCUUCCUUCUUGCCUCACGUCCCUACAUGCUGCCUGCCCCUGUUGACCGUGGGAUGUAUGCUAAUUCCUGCUAUGAGUUGGUUGGUGUAGUGUGCAGCUCAGCUGAGGAUCUGGCCAACUUGCUGCUGCGGUACUACAGGGAGGAGGCUGAGGAGGAGGCGAGACUGUCGUCUAAUAUGCCGUUCGACACUGUUCUGGAGAACAAGCCCAAGCAGCCGAACCUGUCUGAUAUCAUCCCGUUUGACACUAGUCUGGGUGAUGCACAAGACAGGCAAAAGGCCUAUCGGCUGGACCUUACAUUGCACCGUGGAUGUAGGCUUGCCGCAGAGCUGAUCCACAACGGGAUGCCAGGCAUGCCUUGUGCUGCAAUAAUGCCGGAGCUCAUCGCCCAGGUGUGGAUCGAGAUACUAUGCUACGCAGGCCACCGGUGCAGCGCGUACUCUCAUGCCAAGCAGCUUGGCAGCGGCGGUGAGCUCAUCACUAUCGCUGCCCUUCUAGUGGAAUAUGUCAGCGUGCAAGCCCUUGCGAUGCAACCACCACUGCCAUCACUAUCGCUACCCUUCUAG